UAGCCGGCAGGCCUAAUACAUGCAAGCCGAACGGUAACAGGUCCUUCGGGACGCUGACGAGUGGCGUACGGGUGCGUAACGCGUAGGCAACCUACCGUUGACUGGGGGAUAGCCCGGGGAAACCCGGAUUAAUACCCCAUAGUAUUACUGAAUCACCUGGUUUAGUAAUUAAAGAUCUAUUGGUCAACGAUGGGCCUGCGUCAGAUUAGCUAGUUGGUGAGGUAACGGCUCACCAAGGCGACGAUCUGUAGGGGGUCUGAGAGGAUGAUCCCCCACACUGGUACUGAGAUACGGAC
rnacentral:rRNA from 1 species